rnacentral:rRNA from 1 species
AUACGUAGGUGGCAAGCGUUGUCCGGAAUUAUUGGGCGUAAAGCGCGCGCAGGCGGUCCUUUAAGUCUGAUGUGAAAGCCCACGGCUCAACCGUGGAGGGUCAUUGGAAACUGGGGGACUUGAGUGCAGAAGAGGAAAGUGGAAUUCCAAGUGUAGCGGUGAAAUGCGUAGAGAUUUGGAGGAACACCAGUGGCGAAGGCGACUUUCUGGUCGGUAACUGACGCGGAGGCGCGAAAGCGUGGGGAGCAAACAGGAUUAGAUACCCUGGUAGUCCACGCCGUAAACGAUGAGUGCUAAGUGUUAGGGGGUUUCCGCCCCUUAGUGCUGCAGCUAACGCAUUAAGCACUCCGCCUGGGGAGUACGGUCGCAAGACUGAAACUCAAAGGAAUUGACGGGG